AUGCAUUUGAUGGAAUACUUGGAUUCUCCUUCAAGACAGUUGGUGAUGCAUUCUCGAGUUUCUGAUGCA
rfam:Eucalyptus grandis cultivar BRASTZ1 unplaced genomic scaffold scaffold_8, whole genome shotgun sequence.